rnacentral:rRNA from 1 species
UACGGAGGAUGCAAGCGUUAUCCGGAUUUAUUAGGUUUAAAGGGUGUGUAGGCGGGAUAGCAAGUCAGCGGUGAAAGGCCAAGGCUCAACUUUGGAACUGCCGUAGAUACUGUUGUCCUUGAGUAUAGUUGAAGUAGGCGGAAUGUGUCGUGUAGCGGUGAAAUGCUUAGAUAUGACACAGAACACCGAUUGCGAAGGCAGCUUACUAAGCUAGAACUGACGCUGAGGCACGAAAGCGUGGGGAG